UGAGACACGGCCCAGACUCUACGGGAAGCAGCAGUGGGGAUCUGCACAAUGGCGGAAGCUGAUGCAGCGACGCCGCGUGAGGGAUGACGGCCUUCGGGUUGUAAACCUCUUUCAGUUGGGACGAAGCCCUUCGGGGUGACGGUACCUUCAGAAGAAGCACCGGCUAACUACGUGCCAGCAGCCGCGGUAAUACGUAGGGUGCGAGCGUUAUCCGGAAUUAUUGGGCGUAAAGAGCUCGUAGGCGGUUUGUCACGUCUGCUGUGAAAGCUCGGGGCUUAACCUCGAGUUUGCAGUGGGUACGGGCAGGCUAGAGUGCAGUAGGGGAGACUGGAAUUCCUGGUGUAGCGGUGAAAUGCGCAGAUAUCAGGAGGAACACCGAUGGCGAAGGCAGGUCUCUGGGCUGUUACUGACGCUGAGGAGCGAAAGCAUGGGGAGCGAACAGGAUUAGAUACCCUGGUAGUCCAUGCCGUAAACGUUGGGCACUAGGUGUGGGGAACAUUUCCACGUUUUCCGCGCCGUAGCUAACGCAUUAAGUGCCCCGCCUGGGGAGUACGGCCGCAAGGCUAAAACUCAAAGGAAUUGACGGGGGCCCGCACAAGCGGCGGAGCAUGCGGAUUAAUUCGAUACAACGCGAAGAACCUUACCAAGGCUUGACAUGCACUAGAUCGCCCUAGAGAUAGGGUUUCCCUUCGGGGCUGGUGUACAGGUGGUGCAUGGUUGUCGUCAGCUCGUGUCGUGAGAUGUUGGGUUAAGUCCCGCAACGAGCGGAACCCCUAUUCUAUGUUGCCAGCAAUUCGGUUGGGGACUCAUGGAAGACUGCCGGGGUCAACUCGGAGGAAGGUGGGGACGACGUCAAAUCAUCAUGCCCCUUAUGUCUUGGGCUUCACGCAUGCUACAAUGGCCGGCACAAUGGGUUGCGAGACUGUGAGGUUGAGCUAAUCCCAUAAAACCGGUCUCAGUUCGGAUUGGGGUCUGCAACUCGACCCCAUGAAGUCGGAGUCGCUAGUAAUCGCAGAUCAGCACG
rnacentral:rRNA from 1 species